UACGUAGGGGGCUAGCGUUGUCCGGAAUCAUUGGGCGUAAAGCGCGUGUAGGCGGUCCGGUAAGUCCGCUGUGAAAGUCGGGGGCUCAACCCUCGGAUGCCGGUGGAUACUGUCGGGCUUGAGUACGGAAGAGGCGAGUGGAAUUCCUGGCGUAGCGGUGAAAUGCGCAGAUAUCAGGAAGAACACCUAUGGCGAAGGCAGCACUCUGGGACGGUACUGACGCUGAGACGCGAAAGCGUGGGGAGCGAACAGG
rnacentral:rRNA from 1 species